rnacentral:piRNA from 1 species
UGGGUUGUGCCCCAUAGAACCUUUGAGUUA